UGUGGGAGCGGGCUUGCUCGCGAAUGCGAUGGAUCAGCCAGCACAUGUAUUGACUGGCACACCGCCUUCGUGAGCAAGCCCGCUCCCACA
rnacentral:misc_RNA from 1 species